rnacentral:rRNA from 1 species
CUACGGGGGGCAGCAGUAAGGAAUAUUGCGCAAUGGAGGCAACUCUGACGCAGCCAUGCCGCGUGCAGGAAGAAGGCCUUAUGGGUCGUAAACUGCUUUUAUUUAGGAAUAAACCCCCGAACGUGUUCGGGGCUGAAGGUACUAAACGAAUAAGCACCGGCUAACUCCGUGCCAGCAGCCGCGGUAAUACGGAGGGUGCAAGCGUUAUCCGGAUUUAUUGGGUUUAAAGGGUGCGCAGGCGGGCUAUUAAGUCAGUGGUGAAAUCCCGGGGCUCAACUCCGGAACUGCCAUUGAUACUGAUAGUCUUGAGUUUGGUUGAAGUGGGCGGAAUGUAGCAUGUAGCGGUGAAAUGCAUAGAUAUGCUACAGAACACCAAUCGCGAAGGCAGCUCACUAAGCCAAAACUGACGCUCAUGCACGAAAGCGUGGGGAUCAAACAGGAUUAGAUACCCGAGUAGUC